rnacentral:piRNA from 1 species
UACUAUAGAAACCAAAUGGAGUCCAGAUU